rnacentral:misc_RNA from 1 species
UCCGGUUUGUCACCGGCAGUCUCCCUAGAGUUCUCAGCCGAACUGCUAGCAACUAGGGAUAGGGGUUGCGCUCGUUACGGGACUUAACCCAACAUCUCACAACACGAGCUGACGACAGCCAUGCAGCACCUGUCUGAGAGUUCCCGAAGGCACCCAUCCAUCUCUGGAAAGUUCUCUCGAUGUCAAGGGUAGGUAAGGUUCUUCGCGUCGCAUCGAAUUAAACCACAUGCUCCACCGCUUGUGCGGGCCCCCGUCAAUUCAUUUGAGUUUUAACCUUGCGGCCGUACUCCCCAGGCGGUCGACUUAUCGCGUUAACUGCGCCACUAAGUUCUCAAGGAACCCAACGGCUAGUCGACAUCGUUUACAGCGUGGACUAC